GUCUGAAUGAAUUGUCUCGGAUGGGAUUUCAAUAUAGGCAUAAAAUCAAUGUGUAUAUUUCUUAAUGUUUGUACAGCUGAUCCAUGUGUGUGCACUGUUGGAGUAAUUAACCAAAUGCUGGCCUCAAUCAAUAUAAUAGCUACACUGCAUAUGUCGUCAUCACGAAGUGCUACUCUGGCCAUUAUGUAUAGGACAACGGCGAUUGGAUGCAGGUGAUGCAGUUGCUCUGGGGAGCAUUUGAUAACAUACUGCAACAGUUCAUCAGCGGCCCAUGCCUUAUAGCUCAUAUCAGAUAUUUCAUCUGUACAUAUUUCUAUAUUAAUAAGCCUAUAAAUAUAAUCUUGAUUACACUUAACUUCGUGGAGAAUAGGUUUAAACUUUGUAAUUGCCUCUUUUAAUGCUUUAUAGUUACCCAUCAAAUAAUAGAAUUUUACUACAAGAGCUUGGCCUCCUAUGCCUUUGUCGUGCCAAUUGUCCACAUAGACCAUUUCAGCUCCUAGUUUAUAGUAAUCUAACGCUUUAUUUUUGUAGGUAACCAGAUCAUCAUCAGAACAUUUGUUUCGUAAGCACACUAAUAAAGAAGUAAUCGUAACACCUAAACAUCUAUAUAAACGUGUCUUGAACAUUCCUUCAUACCUUUUGAGCACUAUUUCAUUGAUAUUCUCAAUAAUUGGCAACAUGAUUAUUUCUGGAAGCCUUAAAAUUGUUGAGGGAUUAUCAUUAGAUUGUAUACAUCUCUGGAGAAUCCAAUACAGGGCUGUAUAGUCCCUGUCUUAUAUAUUGUUUAAUACAAUAUGCCAAGAAGUUUGGAUUACAUCUUCUGGUUUGAAUCUUGAGAACCACUGGUUUAAGCACCUCUUUAGCCAUUGGAUGUUUCAAGAGAUUGGACUCUAGUGCAGCAUAGUCAUCAAAUUGAUUAACUCUAGGAAUAUUCAAGACAUCACAUAGAUCUUCAUUGAUAAUAUAUCUACCACCUUCCGUACUGGCCAUCACCAUAUUCCAAAGAUCCGUUCCGUUUCAGCGAUCAUUUAGCUUUAACUUCAUAUCGACGUUAUUAAGGAAUAAUUUUGUAACCUAAUUGCAUCACUUAAAACAUUUGAAUUCUUUUUUUUUGUUUUUGGAAUUAAUAUAUAUAUAUUAUAAAAAUGUUUUGCCCUUGAGUUACUGUAUAACAUCAGCUUUCAUUAUGUUUUUAGUGAUUAUUAGUGGAAGGAGGUGAAUUUGUUUUCAAUAUUUUAUCAACUUUCAUAGACGAUCAAUGUGCUCAUGAUGAUAAUGGCAAGACUUGUUGUAAUAAUGAUAAUUGUGAUGAUUCAUGAAGAUGAUGAUAGCAUGUAUAAUAACGAUGGUGAAGAUAGUGAUAAUGACGAUGAUGGUGAUGACAGUGUAAUGCUGGGGCUAUGAUGAGAAUUGUGAUGAUAAUGAUGGUUGAAACGCUGAAUAUGAUUAUGGCAUGAUGAUAUGUUAGGGAAUGAUUGUAAUAAAAUAAUAAUGAUUUCAAAUUUAAUAGAAUUCGUGUCAUGCUGCCGAUAAGGGUGAUGACAAUACGUUUUUGAUAAUGAUGAUAAUGAUCAUGAUCAUGAUAUUAGGAAGCUUUUGAUUUGUGCGAUGACGCGGCGCUAGAACGGAAUCACUCAUGCGUGACCGUCCUACCUGGCGUCCUACGUUCUGUGCAUACGUAGAUUUGGCUAAAUUGCGUUCCAGAAUGUACUUGACGAGGUAACAUUCUCGCAUGCACAGAUGACUUUCAGUGACGCCAUUACCUUUUGCGUCCUACCGUCGUCGUGCAAUCGAAAGCUCCCUAAUGGUGGGGCCAUGACGGGGAUUGUGGUAAUAAUGAUCAUUCAGAUGCAGAAUAUGAUGGUAGCAUGACAAUAUUUUCUAGGCAUAAUUGUAAUAAUAUACAUAAUUUCAAAUUUAAUAGAAUUGAUGUGAUGGUUGCAUGGCAAUAUGCUUAGGAAUGAUUGUAAUAAUAUAAUAAUGAUUUAAAGUUCUGAACUACUAAAUCCAUAGGGUAUGAUCAGAUUGCAUGGAGUAGCAAUUUAAGCUUCCUUAAAAUGUAAGGCAGGUCGUCUUUUUCCACAAUUGUACAUUGAGAUUUUCAUAAUCCUGUUUACAAGCUUCUCAGUGAUAUUAAUAUCUCCAAAAACUCAUUUACCUUUCAAAAGCUUGUCAGUUUUGGUGUAGAUAACAAUUUAGCGGAUUUAGUUAAUCUUCAAUAGCGUAAUGGAAUUUUCAACUAUAAUCGAGAAUUUCAGGGUUAUUCAGGAAACAAGAACGAUUCUAUAAUUUACCAGACAGAUAUAAAAACAAACAUGUAGUUAACCAGAUGUCUGCACAAAACAAUACCUUUUGAAGCUCAUAAAGAGACUUGGUUAUAGACCUUCGAGGGUCUCAAAUGAUUAGGUGGCUGGAUGUGAAUUACCCUCAUUAAGAAUAUUGUAAAAAAGUGAGAUCAAUGAUUUCCUAACUGUAAAUGGCAUGCAUGCUAUUAUGAAUACAUUAAGAUUCAAUAAAUUCAAUAUGAUUCAUUA
rnacentral:lncRNA from 1 species